rnacentral:lncRNA from 1 species
UUGAAUAAACACAAGCCCAAAUACUUUGCAAAAUGUUUCAAAGAAUUCAAGAAAUGUAAGUUGAUGAGUAAGACAUCUAAAGUAUUUACCUUCUUAGAUUUGAUCCAAGGAAAGGUAACACUUUAGAUGAGUUUCCUUGAAAAAUAUCAAGGAAAAUAGCAUCAUAAGAUAAUGUAUUUCUCCAUUAGGAGAAGAACGAACUCGAAUAAGAUUUAGUUCGUUAGUUGUUAUCUAUUACCCAUAUAUAGGAUAUAUACUUCUAAGACAAUAUGAUUGUCAAUUAGAAGAUCUUCCAAUAUUUUCAUGACUCCAUGAGAUGUAGUUGGAAAGAAAGACAAAAUCUUAAAACAUGUUAAGAUUUGGGGUUGUGUGCUAAUAAGCAAUAUUUGUUUGAUAACAAUCUUGUGGGAUA